rnacentral:rRNA from 1 species
AUAACAACACUAGACGCAUGUCUAGAGUUUGAAAGAUGGUUCUGCUAUCACUCUUGGAUGGACCUGCGGUGCAUUAGCUAGUUGGUAAGGUAACGGCUUACCAAGGCAAUGAUGCAUAGCCGAGUUGAGAGACUGAUCGGCCACAUUGGGACUGAGACACGGCCCAAACUCCUACGGGAGGCAGCAGUAGGGAAUCUUCCACAAUGGACGAAAGUCUGAUGGAGCAACGCCGCGUGAGUGAAGAAGGGUUUCGGCUCGUAAAGCUCUGUUGGUAGUGAAGAAAGAUAGAGGUAGUAACUGGCCUUUAUUUGACGGUAAUUACUUAGAAAGUCACGGCUAACUACGUGCCAGCAGCCGCGGUAAUACGUAGGUGGCAAGCGUUGUCUGGAUUUAUUGGGCGUAAAGCGAGUGCAGGCGGUUCAAUAAGUCUGAUGUGAAAGCCUUCGGCUCAACCGGAGAAUUGCAUCAGAAACUGUUGAACUUGAGUGCAGAAGAGGAGAGUGGAACUCCAUGUGUAGCGGUGGAAUGCGUAGAUAUAUGGAAGAACACCAGUGGCGAAGGCGGCUCUCUGGUCUGCAACUGACGCUGAGGCUCGAAAGCAUGGGUAGCGAACAGGAUUAGAUACCCUGGUAGUCCAUGCCGUAAACGAUGAGUGCUAAGUGUUGGGAGGUUUCCGCCUCUCAGUGCUGCAGCUAACGCAUUAAGCACUCCGCCUGGGGAGUACGACCGCAAGGUUGAAACUCAAAGGAAUUGACGGGGGCCCGCACAAGCGGUGGAGCAUGUGGUUUAAUUCGAAGCAACGCGAAGAACCUUACCAGGUCUUGACAUCCAGUGCAAGCCUAAGAGAUUAGGUGUUCCCUUCGGGGACGCUGAGACAGGUGGUGCAUGGCUGUCGUCAGCUCGUGUCGUGAGAUGUUGGGUUAAGUCCCGCAACGAGCGCAACCCUUGUCAUUAGUUGCCAUCAUUAAGUUGGGCACUCUAAUGAGACUGCCGGUGACAAACCGGAGGAAGGUGGGGAUGACGUCAAGUCAUCAUGCCCCUUAUGACCUGGGCUACACACGUGCUACAAUGGACGGUACAACGAGAAGCGAACCUGCGAAGGCAAGCGGAUCUCUUAAAGCUGUUCUCAGUUCGGACUGUAGGCUGCAACUCGCCUACACGAAGCUGGAAUCGCUAGUAAUCGCGGAUCAGCACGCCGCGGUGAAUACGUUCCCGGGCCUUGUACUCACCGCCCGUCA